GAAUCUUGGACAAUGGGGGCAACCCUGAUCCAGCGACGCCGCGUGGGUGAUGAAGGCCUUCGGGUUGUAAAGCCCUUUCGACGGGGACGAUGAUGACGGUACCCGGCGAAGAAGCACCGGCUAACUCCGUGCCAGCAGCCGCGGUAAUACGAAGGGUGCAAGCGUUACUCGGAAUUACUGGGCGUAAAGCGCGCGUAGGUGGUUCGUUAAGUUGGAUGUGAAAUCCCCGGGCUCAACCUGGGAACUGCAUUCAAAACUGUCGAGCUAGAGUAUGGUAGAGGGUGGUGGAAUUUCCUGUGUAGCGGUGAAAUGCGUAGAUAUAGGAAGGAACACCAGUGGCGAAGGCGACCACCUGGACUGAUACUGACACUGAGGUGCGAAAGCGUGGGGAGCAAACAGG
rnacentral:rRNA from 1 species